CUCACACACACAUGCAUUCACACUCAUACCCCUUAGUUUCUCACUAAUUAACGAAUCUUCUUUGUAAAUACUUUGUAACCACUUUAUAAACCAAAACUGCAUUACUUGUAUUUGUAUUUUGUCCCAUUUUUUUUCCUUAAAGUUUAGUUUCUUUGCUUCGCAUAACUGGACACUAAGUAUUGCAAUCUGCACCAUUAUAUAAGCUUGUUUUUCCUCUUGGAAGUAGUAAAUUAUGAUGAGUUUGAUAAAAAAUAGAAAUCAGAAUAAGCAGCAUUCAGUACUUAGCCUUCUAGUCUAGCCUAUAUUUGUGCAGGUGUAUGAUUAUUUAUGCAGACCUAUAGUAAAUAGUGUGAAUUUUCUUUGCAAAACAAAUGGUACGGUCCAGAAGAACCACCUCUGGGCUUGUAUGUUUUGUAAACUACGUGGGUCUGUAUACACACUUGACUUGUGAGCCACGGCUUACACCUUUUAUAAUUUUUUUCACCUUAAAAAAACCCUGCAUGGCAAGAAACUCCAUUAUUAUUAUUAGUAUAAAAAGCCUUAUAAUUUAUAGCCAAAUCAAGCCCAGGAAAGAAUGCAGAUUCACUCAGUAAAAACUCGUUAACAGCCUGCUCUGUACCAGAAUGCACUUCCUUGUAGCUUUGGAAAGCCUCAUAGUAGGGCGGUUUCUGUUUGAGAAUGAACAGUCACAAGAGCAAGGCAGAUAUAGACAAGAAUGUAAUUUUCCAAAAUUUAAAUGAGGGGUGGUAGAGUAUACAUCCAAACAAAAUACAGGGGCAGGCACCUGGGUUCUCAUCUGACUUCAGUUUAGGUCAUGAUCUCAUGGUUCGUGAAUUCAAGUCCCACAUCAGGUGAACAUGAAUCCUGCUUUGGGUGAGCCCUCCUUCUCUCUCUCUUUCUCUCUCUGUCUCUCUCCCCCCACCCCCACCCUCCUCUCACUCUCUCUCUCUCUGCCCCUCGUGGGAUUCUCUCUCUCUCCCUUUCUCUCUCCCUCUCUCUACCCCUUGCUCACUUGCGCCCUCUCUCUCUCAAAACAAAACAAAAUACAGUCCUAUUAGAGUUACAAAAGUAAUAGAUAAAUUUGAAAAAAAUGUACCUUUGCAGUCUUCUCAAACUUAAAUUUUUUCUGGCAUUCCUCUUUUUGAAUCUGUAUGCUGAAUUGUUUAUUCUUUUUUUUAGUAGGAAGGAAGAAAACGUUCUCUUUAGGAAUUCAUUAGAAAUUAAAAUUAAUUUCAGCAUUUAGUAUUCUUUAGACUCUGGUGGAGGCUGAUUUGAAAGGGUGUGUUUAGUUGGAUCGGCCAUGGAGAAAGAGAACAAGCAGUUGUCCUGGCCAGUACAUCUUUGCUAUGAUGGGGAAAUGGCGUCGCUUUAACGUUCAUUUAUUUUUGAGAGAGACAGAGACAGAGUGCCAGCUGGGGAGGGGCAGAGAGAGAGGGAGACACAGAAUCUGAAGCAGGCUGUGGGCUCUGAGCUGCCAGUACAGGGCCCGAUGUGGGAUUUGAACUCAUGAACCUUGAGAUCAUGACCUGAGUUGAAGUCGGACGCUUAACUGACUGAGCCACCCAGGCGCUCCGAGAAAUGGCGUUGCUUUAAUUGCAACUCUUUCAUUGCCUUCCUUGCCAAGCCCAGUGGCUCCUGUUAUAACAUGUGGUGACUUUUCCCUUGGAGACUAACUCGCUCCAAGUUACCGUAAUAUUUAGGACCAGCUACAAAGACAUUUCUUCCCCUAAACCCAUGCCAAAUCUAAAUCAAACUAUCGUCUCCUCCCUGGCCACUCAAAUAGACCCGGCUCAUAUUUGAAAAGGACAAGAAAUGCACAGGCCUCUCAUGCCUGUUUGAACAGAUAGAUAAACAAGGCACAUCAUGCCUAGUGUUGCUUUGAGCUUGGUCAUUUCCUUCUAAAAUAGACUCUGAUACUAUGUUCACUUAAGACUUGGAACUUAGAUGUUCUAGAAAGAAGCAUAUUUUAAGUCUAGCUACAGCAAAUUUAGUCUGCUGUCAG
rnacentral:lncRNA from 1 species